CCGUCGAAGCCCCAGCAGCCGAGCUACCCGUCGAAGCCCCAGCAGCCGAGCUACCCGUCGAAGCCCCAGCAGCCGAGCUACCCGUCGAAGCCCCAGCAGCCGAGCUACCCGUCGAAGCCCCAGCAGCCGAGCUACCCGUCGAAGCCCCAGCAGCCGAGCUACCCGUCGGUGGGAUACUCUUCUCUUCCUCGAAAAGGUGUCGCUCCAAGAGGUUUUAGACGGAUUCCAUCUGUGUACCAGCCCACGUGGCGGCAGCAGCAACUGGUACCUGCAUACGAUGGACUUCAACCUUAGAUUCCUGACCUGUUCCUGGAAGCAGUCUGUCUGGUCAUCAACUUUUGUGAAACUGAAUAAAAUACUUGGAACUAUA